GUGGGGAAUCUUAGACAAUGGGGGAAACCCUGAUCUAGCCAUGCCGCGUGAGCGAUGAAGGCCUUAGGGUUGUAAAGCUCUUUCAGCUGGGAAGAUAAUGACGGUACCAGCAGAAGAAGCCCCGGCUAACUCCGUGCCAGCAGCCGCGGUAAUACGGAGGGGGCUAGCGUUGUUCGGAAUUACUGGGCGUAAAGCGCGCGUAGGCGGACCAGAACGUUGGAGGUGAAAUCCCAGGGCUCAACCUUGGCACUGCCUUCAGAACUCCUGGUCUGGAGUUGGAGAGAGGGGAGUGGAAAUCCGAGUGUAGAGGUGAAAGUCGUAGAUAUUCGGAGGAACACCAGUGGCGAAGGCGGCUCACUGGCUCGAUACUGACGCUGAGGUGCGAAAGCGUGGGGAGCAAACAGGAUUAGAAACCCGUGUAGUCC
rnacentral:rRNA from 1 species